CUCCAUCCCUAGAACCAAAAGCACAGGUCAUUGGAGAAGUGUUGCCACCAAAGAGCAGGCUCUACUCCCUUCCGUGCCUGUGUAACCUGCAGGACUCUGCACAAAAGCUACAGUUGCCUGGAAUCAGGUUUGAAUCCCAGGGGUGACUGUGUUUGACCUCUCAGAACCUCAUCUCUCUCCUUUGACAGGCAUAGCCCAGGCUGGCAAAACCACCUCAGGGACAGGACAUUUGCCUAUACCGUGAAUAGCUUUGGGCUUGCAGGACUAACAGGAAAGGAGAAUGGCAAAUGUUCACAGGGCUUGGCUUGUGUCCAUAUUUCUUGGCCAUUGUUCCUCCUGGUGACUUAUUUCGCACAGCCUCCUGCAUGUCUCUGUGUAAAUAAAGACACUUUAGAGGAGAGCCAGCAGAAAUGAGGCUUCGUGUUCUUUGUUCCUCUUCUUCCUGGAAAAGGCUUCCAAGAACUUCUAGCCAUGGGAAGUGAGCAAACAAGGGUGAUAUUAAUCUGUAAAAAAAACAAACCAGGUUUUCCCUUUCUCCAGCAGCUGGGCACAAGUCCACUCCCUGGUAACUCUACCCCCAAUCAAUGUACAACCAGAGCUUCCUGUUCCGACCUGUAAACAAGACCCCUGUAAACAAGCCAGGUUUCCAGGCCUCUGGGAUUUCCUCAGCUGCUCACUCUCCCAGGAGAACCAGUGACAGCUGCCAAGCCUCCCGCCGAGUCCAGGAAGCAAGGUGUACACUUCAAGGUCUGCCAGCCGCUUCUUUUUGCGUUUCUAAGUCAAGUGUCUCGAACAUUUGAAGACACCUGCACCAUUGCCAAGCCAAAGGAGGGUUGAAAAGAAAACAGGAGACUAAAGACAAGGAAACAGACUCUGAGAGAUUAAGCAACUCGUCCAAGCUUACUCAACCAGUAGAUGUGGGAGGCCUGACAACCCACCCUGUGUUUCUAUUUCACAAGCUAACGCCCCAGCCACCGGGGCAACUGUUCCUGGGAAUGGAGGAUGUGAGCUCUCAGCUACUGCUCCAGAGUCAUGCCUACGGGUCUGCUGCCAAGUUCCCCCGCCAUGAUGGUCAUGCUCGACAACCCUUUGAAACUUAGGUAUGUGCUUCGUCCCCUCAAAGGUCAGAAGAGGAUUAGAUCCCUCGAUUCUGAAUUACAGGUGGGAUGGUCGUGAGCCACCACUGGAUGUGGGAAUCCAACCUGGGUUUUCUGCAAGAGCAACACGUGCUCUCCACAACCACGCUGCCUCUCUAGACGUUUUUUGGGUAAAAUUUAAAUGAUAUCAAAAUGAAAGAUUUAAGAAAUGUCAGUGCCAAUGGAGUGAUUUCAUUUCUUCUCACUGAUGAAUGCGGUCCAUGAUGGUUAAAACUCUUUCAAGCAAGAUAAAGCCGGUUUCCCUUGAUGCCUUUGAACUCCAGACUUAGAGACAAUGGAUGGAGAAAAUAAAAUCUGGAGUCAGGUGGCAGCGGUGCACACCUUUGAUCACAGCACUCCAGAGGAAGAGGCAAGGGACUCUAUCUCUGAGUCCGAGGACAGUCCGGUCUGAGAUCGAGUUCCAGGACAGCCAGGGCUACACAGAAAAAUCCUGCCUCGAAUAACGAAAAAACAAAACUAAAAACACAUCAAAACCAAACAAACCGGGGUUAUUCUGUGCUGUCGGUGGCUGGGAGUGGAUACCUUUUGUCCAGCCAAAUGAAUCUUCCCCUCUGAUCGUACCCUUCCGGGCCUUGUGUAAUGAACUGGGCAAACCGACUGCAGCACUCUGCAAACCCCAACCUCCGAAAGGAGGGUUGAACUUCUUGGAACCCUCAAAAAAUACCAGUGAACUUCAGGAAGUAACGCACGCAACUCUUUUCCAGAAAGAGGUCAAUGGUCACAGAAUCGAAGGAAACACCACGAUGACCCUGGGACUUCCUGCCCACACACUCGGCAUCAUCUCAAAGUUCAAAGGGUUCACGAACUGACAUCCGGCUGACAGACAGGGAAUGCGGCUCAGUGGUAGAGGGCUUCCCUACCCUGGGAGAGGCCCUGGCUUUUAUCUCCAACCCUGCAAAGAAAAGAUUAAUCAAAUGAAAUGGAAAUAAAGCGGGCUUUAUGAAGAAACCCGCUUUCCCUGGGGUCUGGUUUCCUCCCCACCCCUCCUCCCCGCUCAUGACUGAGAGUCAGACUUGAAUGCAACUGGUCAAACCAAGAUUGCCUGCAGAGAUAACCAAGUUUUCCUAAAGCCUUCAAACAAGAAUGCUGUAAACAAACGAAUGUGCAAACGUGCUUACUCGAGAUCAGAAUGUCUCUUACCCAUCAACAUUCCCUUUUAAACGGCAAUUAAACAGUUUCACCUCAUAAA
rnacentral:sRNA from 1 species